CCUACGGGCGGCAGCAGUGAGGAAUAUUGGUCAAUGGGCGAGAGCCUGAACCAGCCAAGUCGCGUGAGGGAGUACUGCCCUAUGGGUUGUAAACCUCUUUUGUCGGGGAGCAAAAGCCGGACGUGUCCGGCUGUGAGAGUACCCGAAGAAAAAGCAUCGGCUAACUCCGUGCCAGCAGCCGCGGUAAUACGGAGGAUGCGAGCGUUAUCCGGAUUUAUUGGGUUUAAAGGGUGCGCAGGCGGAUUGUUAAGUCAGCGGGAAAAUCGUGGGGCUCAACCCCAUCCAGCCGUUGAAACUGGGGAUCUAGAGUGUGCGAGAGGUAUGCGGAAUGCGUGGUGUAGCGGGGAAAUGCAUAGAUAUCACGCGGAACCCCGAUUGCGAAGGCAGCAUACCGGUGCACAACUGACGCUCAGGAACGAAAGCGUGGGUAUCGAACAGGAUUAGAUACCCGAGUAGUC
rnacentral:rRNA from 1 species